UACGGAGGGUGCAAGCGUUAUCCGGAUUCACUGGGUUUAAAGGGUGCGUAGGAGGGCAGGUAAGUCAGUGGUGAAAUCUCCGAGCUUAACUUGGAAACUGCCGUUGAUACUAUCUGUCUUGAAUAUUGUGGAGGUGAGCGGAAUAUGUCAUGUAGCGGUGAAAUGCUUAGAUAUGACAUAGAACACCAAUUGCGAAGGCAGCUUACUACAUAGUUAUUGACACUGAGGCACGAAAGCGUGGGGAUCAAACAGG
rnacentral:rRNA from 1 species